rnacentral:rRNA from 1 species
GUGGGGAAUAUUGGACAAUGGGCGAAAGCCUGAUCCAGCCAUGCCGCGUGUGUGAAGAAGGUCUUCGGAUUGUAAAGCACUUUAAGUUGGGAGGAAGGGCAGUAAGUUAAUACCUUGCUGUUUUGACGUUACCGACAGAAUAAGCACCGGCUAACUUCGUGCCAGCAGCCGCGGUAAUACGAAGGGUGCAAGCGUUAAUCGGAAUUACUGGGCGUAAAGCGCGCGUAGGUGGUUUUGUAAGUUGGAGGUGAAAACCCCGGGCUCAACCUGGGAACUGCCUCCAAAACUGCAUGACUAGAGUACGGUAGAGGGUAGUGGAAUUUCCUGUGUAGCGGUGAAAUGCGUAGAUAUAGGAAGGAACACCAGUGGCGAAGGCGACUACCUGGACUGAUACUGACACUGAGGUGCGAAAGCGUGGGGAGCAAACAGGAUUAGAAACCCGGGUAGUCC